AUACUUUUAAGUUCUAGGUCGCCCACCAGUAUAAUGCGGGAAUACUUUUAAGUUCUAGGUCGCCCACCAGUAUAAUGCGGGAAUACUUUUCAGUUCUAGGUCGCCCACCAGUAUAAUGCGGGAAUACAUUUAAGUUGUAGGUCGCCCACCAGUAUAAUGCGGGAAUACUUUUAUGUUCGAGAUUUUGGAAUCAGUAACCCCACCUGAAGACGGAAGGUUACAACAGAGAGCCCCAAGCAGGAAAAAAAUAAAAUCCCCCAGCGCUAAGAAGCAGAAGGCUGCAAAAGCAAGCGCACAUUCAAAAGGAAGAAGGAACACGUCUCAGAAGAAGCAGUUUGAGAACGCUAUGGCAUGCCCAACAUAACAAUUCUGAUGAAAAGCCAUACCACUGAAGAAACCAUUGAAAGAUCUAAGGAGGAAAGCCAUGUUCCCAGCAAAUCAAGCAGAGUGAUGAGAACUGACAUUCAGAAAAGGUGA
rnacentral:lncRNA from 1 species